CUUCAGGUGGCAGAAUAAUUGCUUUGAGUUUUUACCUCAGAAUAUGGGAAGUUUCCCCCUGAAGC
rnacentral:tRNA from 1 species